rnacentral:tRNA from 1 species
GUUUUUAUAGUUGAAUAACAACGCUGGUUUUUCGAAUCAGAGGUCUAAAAAUUUUAGUUGAAACU